UACGAAGGGGGCUAGCGUUGUUCGGAAUUACUGGGCGUAAAGCGCACGUAGGCGGGUCUUUAAGUCAGGGGUGAAAUCCUGGAGCUCAACUCCAGAACUGCCUUUGAUACUGAGGAUCUUGAGUUCGGGAGAGGUGAGUGGAACUGCGAGUGUAGAGGUGAAAUUCGUAGAUAUUCGCAAGAACACCAGUGGCGAAGGCGGCUCACUGGCCCGAUACUGACGCUGAGGCACGAAAGCGUGGGGAGCAAAGCAGG
rnacentral:rRNA from 1 species